ensembl:misc_RNA 7SK 7SK RNA
GAAUGUGAGGGUGAUCUGGUUGUGACAUCUGUCACCCCAUUGAAUGCCAGGUUGAUUUGGCUCAUCUGCCUGGUUAGGUGGGUGUCCCCUUGCUCCAUCAUCACUCCAUGUGUGACCCUCCCAAAGCCUUGUGCUCUGUCGAGGAGGAUGGCCUUCCCUAAGUAGAGGUGACCGGUCUUUGGGUGAAGGUAUAUGAGUAGCUGUGCUCCCCUGAUUGAACCUCCAGACAAGCUCUGAAUCUGUUCGGGUAUUUCCUCUAUCCUAUCAUAUUUUCAUUACCAAAAGAAUUCUCCUCCUGGAAGCUAAGCACAAAAGAAGAUUCUCCAACCUAGUCCAACUUGUACCCCCCAAGUUAAAAUU